rnacentral:lncRNA from 1 species
UCCCAAGCAUGCAUAUGCCACUCCAUAACAGAGGCCGGGUCGUCCGGUCGCGCACCAAGCUGCAGCUGCUGAAGGCGAGGUGGCCCCCGAGGAGGUCAGUGCACAGCCGUGGAACAUGCCAGGAACCUAGAGGAGUGGCCAAUAUAUCCCUAAUACCCACCCCCAAGGUUCCACCAGCCUUCGUGGGCCUGGCUUCCCAUGAAACGUAGACAGAACAGAGGCCAGUCUGAUUCACAGAAUCUAGACUUCCUAUCGAUGUCUUCGUCCUCGCCAGUGUUGUGAGCGCAGGCGAUCCAGUCUUUUCGACCCAAGUUCCCAAGGCUCAAAGGGUCCUGGACGUCUUCUGCACAGUGCAGUCCCCUCUCCUAGGCCAACCACGUGGUUCUGCAUCAACCCAGGAGCCACAGCCAAGCGCAGGAUAGGGGCGCCUUCGCUACUCUUCUUCAGGGAUCCCCUCCGGAGUGUCACCUGUGGGCUUCGGGCCUCCUAGAGUUAACGCCCAGGGUCCCCAGAGGAUAACCACAUGGUCACAUAAAUGCUACUUUGAAAACACACGAAGAGAAAAAGUACCUCCCUAGCUAAUCACCGAGAAGGCUCUCUCACAAGCUGCGCACCAAGAGGAAUACACGAUUUCUAAUUCCAAGUAUUAAAAUACAGGGCGUCAGGGGUGCUUCUCCCUGGGUCCCCCAGCCAGGCCUUCAAGGAGGAAACCUUGCCGUCUUCGCAGGUGCCCGAAGAGGUGGUAACCAGGCGAUACAGCGCAUCCGGGGACAGCGGCCAACACCGGACGUGGGCACCUCUGCUCCUUUAAACCUCCUUCCCAUUUGGGAAGCUCCCCUUCUGAUCUUGACCAACAUCAGUCCAGCUAGCAGUUACCUGAAUCUGCAAAAGUUUGAGACGCCCGUGUUUAAUUGUGGCCAAAUACUCGUUAAUCUUCCUGGAAACAUAUCACGGUAAUGAAAAUAAAAACAAGGGGUGCCAUAUGCCAAACCCAUACGCAGCGCCUACCCCGGUCCUGUACCUCCCUACACCUGCAAUGUCAUCUUGGGAAGGCGCUCCUGCUUAAUCUGUGAGCUGAAACACUUCCAAAUAUUCAAAUUUGGCAAAAAAAAAAAAA